rnacentral:rRNA from 1 species
GGGCCCGCACAAGCGGUGGAGCAUGUGGUUUAAUUCGAUGAUACGCGAGGAACCUUACCAGGGCUUAAAUGUAGUGGGACAGGUCUAGAGAUAGACCCUUCUUCGGACUCAUUACAAGGUGCUGCAUGGUUGUCGUCAGCUCGUGCCGUGAGGUGUCAGGUUAAGUCCUAUAACGAGCGCAACCCCUAUCGUUAGUUGCCAGCGAGUAAUGUCGGGAACUCUAACGAAACUGCCAGUGCAAACUGUGAGGAAGGUGGGGAUGACGUCAAAUCAUCACGGCCCUUACGUCCUGGGCUACACACGUGCUACAAUGGCCGGUACAGAGAGCAGCCACUUCGCAAGAAGGAGCGAAUCUCAAAAAGCUGUCUCAGUUCGGAUUGUUGUCUGCAACUCGACAACAUGAAGUCGGAAUC